rnacentral:lncRNA from 1 species
CCAUAGCUUUUUGAAACCAUGAAUUACAAAGCAUUCACUUUUGAUAUUGUUUGUAUUAAUUUUUUUGUCUAUCGUCAACAAUGGCCUCUCGAAGAAUAUUAUCAGGUUUUAUCUCUUUGCUAUAUUAAAUAUGAUAAUUAGAAAAAAAAUAUUUAUUGUUUAUAGAAUAAUAAUUCUUGUUUAUUGAUAAAAGCAUAAAGAUCAUUUCUAUUAUAAGGUGGAGAGUUUGAUUUUUCCAAUCAACCUAAUCGCAUAAAUAAAACUCUUUUAAAAAAGGGAAAAUUGUAUAUAAUAGCAAACUAUUAAUUCAAAUUAAAUGCUAUAAAUAUAGUUUGAUUUAAUUGUACCUCAUAGCAAACUAUUGUUAUUUCACCUCUCUCCUGGUGAAUCUCGCUCGCCACUCUCAUUCUCUCCCUCGCCUCUCUCGUUUUUUAUACAAACGCAAGUGUAUAAAGUGCAUUUGUGUUUGUAUAAAGCGAGAGAAAAUUGUAUAUACACAUGCAAAUACAUAUAUCUUCGUCCUAUACACUAAUAAUUAUACAAUACAAAUAUUCCCUUACCCAAUUCUCUUUUUCCUUUCUCUCUUUCUUGCUUUAUACAAACACAUAUUAUACAAUAUAAUGUAAAAUUUAUGUUUGUAUAAUGUAUAAUUUAUGUUUGUAUAAAGCGAAAUAAAAUUGUAUAUACACAUGCAAAUACAUAUAUNNNNNNNNNNNNNNNNNNNNNNNNNNNNNNNNNNNNAGAAAAUUGUAUAUAUACAUAUAUUUCGUUCCCCUCUCUCCCCUCUCCCAGAUCUCGCUCACUCACUCGCCUCUCUCACUUUAUACAAUUGAUCUUUUUGUAUAUGUAUACCAAAGCAAAUUAUACAACUGUUUUUUUUUUGUAUAUGUAUAGCGAAUUAUACAUAUAUAUGUUUGCUAUGGAGCGCAAUUAUGCAAACUUUGCUGUAGCAUACAAAUAUGAAUUUUGUGUUUGCUAUAUUUGAAAGUUGCUCUUUAAAAAAUUAUAUAUUUAUCCCUUCUCUUUAAUGUAUUUUAAUUUUUUUUUCCCCUAAAUUUUCAGUUGAAGGAAGUAAACAAAUUCAUUAGUUUAAGAUAUACCAUGUUGAGAAUUCUAAUUAGUACGAUGGCAUUUAAUUUGGACUAAUAAGUAGUUUUUGUUGUAAAACUAAAGCAAAAUAAGACAAAAAAUAUAGAAGAUGAAAGCAAUAAAAAUAUUGUUAUAUAAUAUUUUAUAACAAUUUUUUUGUCAAUUUCUUUUUUUGCUUUAUUCUUGUUUUCUUGUUCCGUUUAUUGUAAUGGGUUUUACUUUAAUUUGAGGUAUCACGCUUCAGUUUUCAAUAUAAAAAAAUGUCUUCAGAAAGCAUUUUUUUCAAUAAUUCAAGUUUUUCCAAAAACACUUUUGAAAUUAUAAUCAAGCAUAAACUAUUACCCUAGAUCAACAAGUCUUUUUAAAUUAAUUAGUCUAAUACAAAUUACUAUCAUAUAUAUGUAUAAAAAAAACUUUAACAAACACUUUCAACAAAAAUACUUUUUAAAAUAAAUAAUUUUUCAAACUUAAUCAAAUAGACUAUAAAUAAUUAGGCUAUUGAAAAUAAAGUAGAUACCAAAUUUGGACAUAUUAAAAAAUUAAUUUAACAAAAAAAAAAAAAAUUGUACCCAAAAGUGCUUGUUCUUUGUUUGAAUUGAAUUUAAAUUCUAUGUAUUUAUAGGAUCAAAUUAUUUAUAUUCGAGAUAAAUUGAUUAUUAUGAUAGCAUAAUAUAUAUAUAAACUCUAUUUUAAUAACAGGUCCGGGAAAUAGUAAAAUGCCAUCACUACCUCACCGACCUAAACCAGAUGGAUCAGCAACUACCCAACCACCGCCUGGUAAACUUUUGCUUGAACCUUUUUUCAAUUUACGUGUCACAAUUCAAAAUUUGAGAAUCAAAUAUUUUAAUUUUCAUUUUUAAAACUUCGCAUCCCCUAAUGUGAACUACUAUUAAUAUGCGCGGCAAAUUAGUUCAUGCAUAUGUAGUAGUCUGAGUCGAUUUUAAUUUUUUAUCAUUUUAAUAAGUUGAAUUUUAAUUUUUGCAUUUAUAACAUAAUAAAAGUUAUUUAAGAGCGCAAAACAUAACUUAUAAACUAUUACUAUGUAAAAAUAUAAAUUUAUAUCUUACGAUUUUUUUUUUACCUCGAGGGACAAUCGAUAAAGAUCGGCACAAAAUACAGGGACCCUUUUUAAUUUGCGUAAAGAUAUUGAUUAGACACAAUGUUUAAAGAACUUUUUUUUUGAUGAUUUCUAAUACUUUGUGGUCGUGAGUACGAAUUAUAUGAUGAGAUAUUUGUGAAUUAUGAUUAUAAAACUUGUUAUAAAAUGUCUAAUGAGAAACUUAUAAUUCAUUUUUAGAAUAGAAAAGUGUUAUUCUGUUUGAUUUCAAAAAAUAAUAAUCAAUGUUUUUUUUUUUUUAAUCAAAAUAGCAGCACCACAACAUUUAACCUAUCGUGCAAUACAAAAAACAGUGACUGUAUGCAACGAGAAGGUGUAUGGCAAUUGUAUAAGAGCUCCUCCAACAGUCACACGCUGCAAUUAUUAUGGAAGAUGUAAACGCACCGUAGUACCCUAACUUGAAGUUAUAACAGCAAAGCAAGUCGCAGUUAGAAUUUGAAAUUUAUGAAUUCUGAAUGUAUUACUGAAUUUUAUAACACAUUUAAUUAGUUACUGGAUUGACGGUUAAUUGUAAACAAUAAACUUCAUUUUUCAGUGAAAGUUCAUGUAAUAAUAUUGAAUGGUGUAUAUUUAUAUCAAAGCCAUUUAAAAUCUUCUUCUUCCA